rnacentral:rRNA from 1 species
UCCGGAGGUUGCAAGCGUUAUCCGGAUUCACUGGGUUUAAAGGGUGCGUAGGUGGGCAGGUAAGUCCGUGGUGAAAUCCUAUAGCUUAACUAUAGAACUGCCAUGGAUACUAUUUGUCUUGAAUGUCGUAGAGGUAAGCGGAAUAUGUCAUGUAGCGGUGGAAUGCUUAGAUAUGACAUAGAGCACCAAUUGCGAAGGCAGCUUACUAUGCGAUGAUUGACACUGAGGCACGAAAGCGUGGGUAGAAAACAGG